rnacentral:pre_miRNA from 9 species
UCUCGAUAUCGUAAGAGUUAACUUAAAUUUGUAUGGAGUUGGAAAGUUUCCAACGUUUGCCGCUAGGGGCGCUGUUCCAACUGCAUACAAAUUUGAGUUAACUUUUACGCGAUCGA